rnacentral:lncRNA from 1 species
AGAUUGUAUCCAGAAAGCUUUCCAAGACCUGUGAGGUAGAUCAUCAGAAUGGUCGGAUGGUUGGAGCAUUGAGACCCAGUAAGCUCCAAAUUAGGAAAAGCCAAGUAGGGAACUUGUAGUUGUUACUCUGACAAGUGCUCUGAGUGAGUACUUUCCUUUAUUGCACAAUCUACAUUAAUUAUUUAAACAUUUACAUUUAUUUAAAUUUACAUUAUUUAAAUUUUGUAUUUUGAUAAGUAUCUGUUGAAACUUGUUCCUUUUUGUAAAUGUUUGGGGUUUUUCCUCUCAUACAACUGGUAUGAGUGUUCCACUCUUUGUAUGUAGGUAGACUUGAGAAGCAUUCACCAAUGAUAUAGUUUUUCUUAAUAGUAAUUUCAAUUUCCAAAAUUUUAGGAAGAUAGAAGAAAAAAACACUUAUACAAAAAUCCUAGUUACCCAGAAUAAAAUCAAGUUUUCCUCCCAGAGUUUCCCCAAAGUUAGUAUGUCAGGCCUUAGCUACUACUUUAUAAUAACUACUGUUUGUUUUCAGUAGAAGCUGAAUAAAUGGUUUAUGAACUUUGUUCUGAGAAACAAUAAAUGUGAGCAAUUUCAAGUCAAGGACUGGUGUUUGAUUCUAUAAUUUACCUUGUUGUUGAGAUGUCUGUUAACAGCUUCACAUCUUUCAGUUUAAUGAGGCUCAGAUUUUACUAUUGUCUAGGUAACAUCUGUUAAAAUAUUGAUGGCAGUGGUAUUUGCUACUGAGGAAAUGGGAGGGUGAAUUUGGGAAGUGAAGUCGACAGGAAGCUGACACUGUGCUGAUAAAGUAAAGGCAGGCUUUGCAGUUGUGCCAAGUUCUGUAGCUUCACUGCUGAAGUGCUUGCAGGCCACCUAUGUAAGUAUACCUUGGUACAAUACAGUCAUGCCUUGCUGGAAAUGUAAGCAUGUCCUGUUAGCCUGGAUAGCACCAAGCAGAAUGGGCUUCUUUUGUGGUCACACUCUUUUACUAUAACCUUGAGAUAACUUAUAUAGCUGGCAUAUUUUGCAAUUUUUUGUCUCCAAAAUUUUAUGGAGGAAUGUCCAAGUUCCAAUGGCUUAAAACUAGAUGAAGAUUGAAAUAAGUUUUGAAUAUAUCAGCAAAAUCAUAUCACUAACAUUAGUGAUUAG